rnacentral:rRNA from 1 species
CAUAUCAAUAAGCGGAGGAAAAGAAACUAACAAGGAUUCCCCUAGUAACGGCGAGUGAACCGGGAAGAGCUCAAAUUUGAAAUCUGGCGUGCUCAGUGCGUCCGAGUUGUAAUCUAUAGAGGCGUUUUCCGUGCCGGACUGUGUCUAAGUCCCUUGGAACAGGGUAUCAAAGAGGGUGAUAAUCCCGUACUUGACACAAUGACCGGUGCUCUGUGAUACGUCUUCUACGAGUCGAGUUGUUUGGGAAUGCAGCUCAAAAUGGGUGGUGAGUUCCAUCUAAAGCUAAAUAUUGGCGAGAGACCGAUAGCGAACAAGUACCGUGAGGGAAAGAUGAAAAGCACUUUGGAAAGAGAGUUAAACAGUACGUGAAAUUGUUGAAAGGGAAACGAUUGAAGUCAGUCGUGACUGAGAGGCUCAGCCGGUUCUGCCGGUGUAUUCCCCUCAGUCGGGUCAACAUCAGUUUUGUUCGGUGGAUAAGGGCAGCUGGAAGGUGGCACCUCCGGGUGUGUUAUAGCCAGCUGUCGCAUACAUCGAAUGAGACUGAGGAAUGCAGCUCGCCUUUAUGGCCGGGGUUCGCCCACGUCCGAGCUUAGGAUGUUGACAUAAUGGCUUUAAACGAC